rnacentral:tRNA from 1 species
GUUUUUAUAGUUUAUAAAAAAUUUUGGUCUUGUAAAUCAAGGAAAAGAACUAUCUUUAAAAACU